rnacentral:tRNA from 1 species
GCAGGGGUAGCCAAGCGGUCAACGGCGGUAGACUCAAGAUCUACUCCCUUAGGGGUUCGUCGGUUCGAAUCCGGCCCCCUGCACCA